rnacentral:rRNA from 1 species
AGAGUUUGAUCCUGGCUCAGAACGAACGUUAGCGGCGCGCCUAACACAUGCAAGUCGCACGAGAAAGGGCUUCGGCCCCGGUACAGUGGCGCACGGGUGAGUAACACGUAGAUAAUCUUCCCUCGAGUGGUGGAUAACUCUCCGAAAGGAGAGCUAAUACAGCAUAAGACCACGGCUUCGCUGAAGCCGCGGCCAAAGCAGGCCUCUACACGUAAGCUUGCGCUUGAGGAUGAGUCUGCGGCCCAUCAGCUAGUUGGUAGGGUAAUGGCCUACCAAGGCUAAGACGGGUAGCUGGUCUGAGAGGAUGAACAGCCACACUGGAACUGAGACACGGUCCAGACUCCUACGGGAGGCAGCAGUGGGAAUCUUGCGCAAUGGGCGAAAGCCUGACGCAGCGACGCCGCGUGAGCGAUGAAGGCCUUCGGGUUGUAAAGCUCUGUGGGGAGGAAAGAAUAAGGUUUGGCUAAUAUCCAAGCUGAUGACGGUACCUCCUUAGCAAGCACCGGCUAACUCUGUGCCAGCAGCCGCGGUAAUAC